CAUAACCCCGCCUCCAUCCCGCAGUGCCCCGCCCCUGCCUCACGGUCCUCUCCUGAGCCCUCCUGCAAACCCAUUCUCUGUGUAACCUGGCCCUUGAGUCCUCGUUUUAGGUCGGCAGCCGUCCGCUAAUCCCCGACCCUGCCCCACGCCCCACCCUUCACCUGGUCGGCUGGGACCUCGGCUCAGCCCGGCUGCCGGGCCCGCGGGCCAGGUGCUAACCCGCAGGCCAUGCAGCACGCGUCCCAAGGCUAUUGUUUUUAUACCUUGGGUCCUCAAAGGCUGCAGGUGAGCAGGGCCGAUUUAGACCUCAGAGGGCCAUUUUGUACUUACUUCCCUCACGGGAAUGUGGAGUUUUGUCUUCGUGGGGACAAUCGGAAAGAGAUCUUAAAAAUCAUCUGGUCCAAGUGCUUCAUUUGACCUUAACGGAAAGAGCCUUAGUGGGUGUCGCUUGCCUGCUUCACACAGCUCUUUGGAGGAGGUUGGGCUAUGGGCCACUUACCCCUCCUAGCCGGGAAACUCUCCACGCUAAGGUACUGCCUGCCCCUUUUCUGUUGCUUUUUCUUAGUUUUCUAGGGACUGACAGAUAAAGGGGCUGCAGGGGACCAGGUUCCCCUGGCCGCCUGAGAGGUACAAAUUCUCUCCCCACCACCUUUCAGGAUCCCCGCUCAGUUUACUUUUUCAAAACUGUACAGCAAGCAUAUUAUCAUCUCAACAUAUGUCUAAUCACCUGUGAGUUUAGUCUAUUUUUCCAGCUCCUCCCAUUUCUCCUCCUAGAUGGAAGGUACACUUACUGAAAGCUUUGUCUUGCUAAUACCUGGCUCUCUGCAGGCCCUUGGAGAUCCAGAAUGCCACUGCACUCUUGCCUUUUGGCCUGCAGUCCAACUCGAGGUCGUUGAGAACUUCUCCUUCCCUGUUCACUGGGAUCCGACUGGAAUGUUCCUCCAGAGACCGUCCAGCAAUAGUUCUCAAGCUUUCAACUUGCAGCACGCACUCCCAAAGGAACACAAUCCUUCUGCCCUUAAAGACCGACAAUAUCCGUUUUCUAUGACAAAGGCUCAGACUCCCAGGAUUGAUUCCUUUGCCUCAGCACACAAAUGCAGCUUUGGAAAUCCAUGGACAGUCUAGCUAGGAGACCAGGAUUUCUAUGCUGAUCCUUUUUGAGACACAGUAUUCACGUCGCAUGAGCAGAAGUGUGUGUGUGCCGUGGCAAGGGUGGUCAGGGCAGAAAUCCAGAAAUCCUGUCAGAUUAUUUUUGCGGCAAAUGUACUAUAUGCUUUUCAUAUUCUUUCCCCAUAAUUUUUCUUAAAAGUGAAUCGUAUUGGAAGGUGUAAUUCAAGUUUGUCAUUAUAUUCCUACAGGUACAAAAAUAACUUAGGUGUCUACAAAUAUUUUUGAGCCUUUUAAUAUACAUUACAAAUAUUUUAGACCAAUCACAUUUUGUUGUGUGUAACAUAUUUACAAAACAAAAAAUAUAUUACAAUAAAUAUGAAUGAAACAGUGAAUCUGAUCAACAACAAGCUGUCA